CCCCUCUCAGGAUCGCAGCUGGAGAGUUUCCAGUACUAGACCAGUCUUGGCUACGGAAGGGAGAGUCAAGCAGAUGCAUACCCAUUCCACUCCUGGCUUGGGCAGUGGCUAGUGAGUGGAAAGCAAUCUGCUACAAGU